rnacentral:rRNA from 1 species
UGCCAGCAGCCGCGGUAAUACGGAGGGUGCGAGCGUUAAUCGGAAUUACUGGGCGUAAAGCGCGCGUAGGCGGCUUGUUAAGUCAGAUGUGAAAUCCCCGGGCUCAACCUGGGAACUGCAUCCGAUACUGGCAGGCUAGAGUAUGUUAGAGGCAAGUGGAAUUCCGGGUGUAGCGGUGAAAUGCGUAGAUAUCCGGAGGAACACCAGUGGCGAAGGCGGCUUUCUGGACCGAUACUGACACUGAGACGCGAAAGCGUGGGGAGCAAACAGGAUUAGAUA